CCUACGGGUGGCAGCAGUGGGGGAUAUUGCACAAUGGGGGGAACACUGAUGCAGCGACGCCGCGUGGGUGAAGAAGCGCCUCGGCGCGUAAAGCCCUGUCAGCAGGGACGAACAUGACGGUACCUGACGAAGUAGCCCCGGCUAACUACGUGCCAGCAGCCGCGGUCAUAAGUAGGGGGCAAGCGUUAUCCGGAUUUACUGGGUGUAAAGGGGGCGCAGACGGGGAUGCAAGCCAGGAGGGAAAGCCCGGGGCCCAACCCCGGGACUGCUCUUGGAACUGCGUGGCUUGAGUGCAGGAGGGGCAGGCGGAAUUCCUGGUGUAGCGGUGAAAUGCGUAGAUAUCAGGAGGAACACCGGUGGCGAAGGCGGCCUACUGGACUGCAACUGACGUUGAGGCCCGAAAGCGUGGGGAGCAAACAGGAUUAGAUACCCCAGUAGUC
rnacentral:rRNA from 1 species